rnacentral:rRNA from 1 species
UACGGAGGAUGCAAGCGUUAUCCGGAAUUAUUGGGCGCAAAGCGUCCGUAGGUGGCUAAUCAAGUCUGCUGUCAAAGCGUGGAGCUUAACUCCAUACCGGCGGUGGAAACUGAUGAGCUAGAGUGCGAUAGGGGUAGCAGGAAUUCCCAGUGUAGCGGUGAAAUGCGUAGAGAUUGGGAAGAACACCAGCGGCGAAAGCGUGCUACUGGGUCUGCACUGACACUGAGGGACGAAAGCUAGGGGAGCGAAAGGG